rnacentral:rRNA from 1 species
GAAGGAGAUUAAAGAUUUAUCGGUGAUGGAUGGGGAUGCGUCUGAUUAGCUUGUUGGCGGGGUAACGGCCCACCAAGGCGACGAUCAGUAGGGGUUCUGAGAGGAAGGUCCCCCACAUUGGAACUGAGACACGGUCCAAACUCCUACGGGAGGCAGCAGUGAGGAAUAUUGGUCAAUGGGCGAGAGCCUGAACCAGCCAAGUAGCGUGCAGGAUGACGGCCCUAUGGGUUGUAAACUGCUUUUAUAAGGGAAUAAAGUGAGCCUCGUGAGGCUUUUUGCAUGUACCUUAUGAAUAAGGACCGGCUAAUUCCGUGCCAGCAGCCGCGGUAAUACGGAAGGUCCGGGCGUUAUCCGGAUUUAUUUGGUUUAAAGGGAGCGUAGGCCGGAGAUUAAGCGUGUUGUGAAAUGUAGAUGCUCAACAUCUGCACUGCAGCGCGAACUGGUUUCCUUGAGUACGCACAAAGUGGGCGGAAUUCGUGGUGUAGCGGUGAAAUGCUUAGAUAUCACGAAGAACUCCGAUUGCGAAGGCAGCUCACUGGAGCGCAACUGACGCUGAAGCUCGAAAGUGCGGGUAUCGAACAGGAUUAGAUACCCUGGUAGUCCGCACGGUAAACGAUGGAUGCCCGCUGUUGGUCUGAAUAGGUCAGCGGCCAAGCGAAAGCAUUAAGCAUCCCACCUGGGGAGUA